GACGAACGCUGGCGGCGUGCUUAACACAUGCAAGUCGAACGGAAAGGCCCUGCUUGCAGGGUAUUCGAGUGGCGAACGGGUGAGUAACACGUGGGUGAUCUGCCCUGCACUCCGGGAUAAGCCUGGGAAACUGGGUCUAAUACCGGAUAGGAGCCAUUUUUAGUGUGAUGGUUGGAAAGAGUUUUCGGUGUAGGAUGAGCUCGCGGCCUAUCAGCUUGUUGGUGGGGUAAUGGCCUACCAAGGCGGCGACGGGUAGCCGGCCUGAGAGGGUGGACGGCCACAUUUGGGCUGGGGUACGGCCCCAGCCCCUUCGGGGGGGAGCAGUUGGGAAUAUUUCCCAAUGGGCGCCAGCCUGAUGCAGCGACGCCGCGUGGGGGGUGACGGCCUUCCGGUUUGUAACUCCUUUCGCUAGGGGCGGAACUUUUUGUGACGGUACCUAGAGAAGAAGCACCGGCUAACUACGUG
rnacentral:rRNA from 1 species